AGGGAAAGAGGGGGGAAGGAAGAACAAAGGCAAGUCGAAAGGUAACAGGAAGCAGCUUGCUGCUUUGCUGACGAGUGGCGGACGGGUGAGUAAUGUCUGGGAAACUGCCCGAUGGAGGGGGAUAACUACUGGAAACGGUAGCUAAUACCGCAUAACGUCGCAAGACCAAAGAGGGGGACCUUAGGGCCUCUUGCCAUCGGAUGUGCCCAGAUGGGAUUAGCUAGUAGGUGGGGUAACGGCUCACCUAGGCGACGAUCCCUAGCUGGUCUGAGAGGAUGACCAGCCACACUGGAACUGAGACACGGUCCAGACUCCUACGGGAGGCAGCAGUGGGGAAUAUUGCACAAUGGGCGCAAGCCUGAUGCAGCCAUGCCGCGUGUAUGAAGAAGGCCUUCGGGUUGUAACUUCCUUUCAGCGGGGAGGAAGGGAGUAAAGUUAAUACCUUUGCUCAUUGACGUUACCCGCAGAAGAAGCACCGGCUCCCUCCGUG
rnacentral:rRNA from 1 species